rnacentral:sRNA from 1 species
GCUGGGCAUGAUGAUGCAAGCCUGUAAUCCCAGCAACUCAGGAGGCUGAUGCAGGAGGAUCUUGAGUUCAAAGCUAGCCUCAACAGAUUAGUCAGGCACUUAGCAACUCAGUGAGACCCUGUCUCUA